rnacentral:lncRNA from 1 species
UUGUAGGUUUUGAAUUCGUCAGUGGAAAUACAGGGGGCCUUAUCGUUUCUUGAGAUUAGGAUUUUCAAGGCUGCUCACGUGACAUCGUCAACACCUCUGAUGGACUUGCAAAGGGUCACAAUACCAUGGACAACGCCUAACACAAAAGCCCUGAGUGGGUUUUCAGCAAUAUGUUUCAUGUUUGGAGAGCGCAUGUACCCUCACCUGAACUAACCUAUUGGAUUAGUGGAAGCUGACGUUGGCGGCACUGCCAUCAAUUGGUGGUCUUCACCAGAAGUGGUGUCCAAGUGCAGCAGUCAGGGGAAACGAGGAUGGCCUCCAAAGAACUACGAACUGUGGAACGCAAUCAUAAGUCCCCUCCUUCCACUCUCGAUAUAUGGUGUUCUUUGGUAUCAAGGUGAAAAUGACAUUGGUUCCGCCAGUAGAUACGCCUGCACCUUUCCCAUAAUGAUUGAAGACUGGAAAAAACACUGGCAUCUGGAGUCCAUGGGGGA